GGUCUCGGCAGGUAGUUUGAUCAAAAUUAUGGUUAAACGUUGUGCCUGGGGCAUUUGUAAUACAGAUACGCGUUUCCCAGAAAGGUUGGAGGGGGGUGUCCGUUUUUUCCCCUUCCCAAAACCGAAGUCAAAUCCUGACAAGUGUGGUCUUUGGAUUAAACUGUGUGGACGUCCUCACAGUCAGCUAAACCCCUCAAGGAUCAACAAGCACACUUUUGUGUGCUCUGAGCAUUUUGUUAAUGGAGAACCAAGUCCCGAAUCCCCAAAUCCAGUCCCUGCUAUUCCUGGUGGAGGAAGUGCAGUCAAAAGUCGAAGACUGCCAACUAAGAGAGGCAUCUCCACAGUAUCAGGCUCAUCAGUGCAGGACACCACAUCAGAGGAGUUGUCCAUGGUCAUUGAAACAGGACAGUACAGAAAGAGCCUGGCUGUGGUGGCAAAGGGAAUGCUGGGAAGUCACUGGAGUUUGAUAAGGAGGAUGCUUGUGAAGUGUUGUCCAAUAGUGGGAGCUGUAUGCAUUGAAGGGGAAAAAAAACAUUUAUUAUUUACAUUACGUUUCUUGUUUUUUUUUGUUUUUUUACUAGGCCUCAUUUUAUUA